rnacentral:rRNA from 1 species
GAUGAACGCUGGCGGCGUGCCUAAUACAUGCCAGUCGAGCGAACAGACGAGGAGCUUGCUCCUCUGACGUUAGCGGCGGACGGGUGAGUAACACGUGGAUAACCUACCUAUCAGACUGGGAUAACUUCGGGAAACCGUAUCUAAUACCGGAUAAUAUAUUUAACCGCAGGGUUCAAUAGUGAAGUACGGUUUUGCUGUCACUUAUAGAUGGAUACUGGCCGCAUUAGCUAGUUGUUAAGGUAACUGCUUACCACGGCGACGAUGCGUAGCCGACCUGAGGGGGUGAUCGGCCACACGGGAACUGAGACACGGUCAAGACUCCUACGGGAGGCAGCAGAAGGGAAUCUUCCGCAAUGGGCGAAAGCCUUGCGGAGCAGCGGCGCGUGAGAGGUAGAGAUGUUCGGAUCGUAAAACUCUGUUAUUAGGGAAAAACCAAUGUGUAAGUAACAAUGCACGUCUUGACGGUACCUAAUCAGAAAGCCACGGCUAACUACGUG